rnacentral:rRNA from 1 species
UACAGAGGUCCCAAGCGUUGUUCGGAUUCAUUGGGCGUAAAGGGUGCGUAGGUGGCGUCGUAAGUCGGGUGUGAAAUCUCGGGGCUUAACUCCGAAACUGCAUUCGAUACUGCGGUGCUUGAGGACUGGAGAGGAGACUGGAAUUUACGGUGUAGCAGUGAAAUGCGUAGAGAUCGUAAGGAAGACCAGUGGCGAAGGCGGGUCUCUGGACAGUACCUGACACUGAGGCACGAAGGCCAGGGGAGCAAACGGG